rnacentral:Y_RNA from 1 species
GGCUGGUCCAAAGGCAGUGAGUUAUCUCACUUGAUUGUUCACAGUUACAGACUGAACUUGUUCUACUACCUUCCCCCACUUCUCACUACUGUACUUGACUAGUCUAAA